GGGCCCGUAGCUUAGCCUGGUGGAGCGCUGAUCAACAAGGAAGCGUUUUCCCUUUGAGUGAAAGUCUUAUAUGAAGGUUAAGCUAAUAAAUCUCUAAGAGAGCCAGAAGUCGCCGGUUCAAAUCCGGUCGGGCCCA
rnacentral:tRNA from 1 species